rnacentral:tRNA from 1 species
UGGUGGAUAGCUCAAUGCUCAGAGCCGCCGGCUCAUGACCGAUCGGUUGCAGGUUCAUGUCCUGUGGGCCCACCAUCCA